rnacentral:ncRNA from 1 species
AUAAAGGUAAUGAUUGGAAUAAGUAGUUUCUUAUCUCCCUGUAGCAGAGAGCUGGUGGUGGUGAAAAUCAGUAUAAAGAUAAGGGCGAAUUACCUCCAUGAACUUUCUUUGCGAACGGAUAGUAGUAAAGAACGGACGAACCGUUAUUCGAAUGAAGUGGAAGAGAAAUCUUCAAUAAGGGUGGUACCGCGUUAACCACGUCCCUUUU